CUCGGCGAAAUAACGUCCGAUUUUGGAUUGGUGGACCAUUUUGGACUCGCACUGAUCGCUUUUGUCUAAUGGCAUUACGUUUUUGGGUAAUCUUUUUAAAGGACAUUACAUUGACCACCUUAAGGACCAUUCUGAUGUCCUUUGGACAACAUGUAGUCAGUCCUUGUCCUGCCAAUUCAGAAUGUGUAAUUAAAAGGACGAAAAUCCUUCAAGGAGCUGAGAAAAGGAGAUUUUUGUCGGGAAAGAUAAAUCGAUGUAGAUCGUCCGUAUCCUUACCAAUCGUGAUGUCCAUUGGCCAACCAUCCUGACAAGUCGUGUGUCAAACAAAUCGUCUGAACAAGGACCAAAAACUGUCCAAAGGACAUCAAAAUCGUCCCUGCCGUUUCCAAUAUAUGGCUAAUUUUUUAAAAAGGACAUUUUUCAAUUAGCCACAACUUGGUCAAAUCCUUAAGGAUAUUGAAAGGAUAUGCCUUUUUAAACUCGUGGCAAGCAGGACUAUCGAUUGGCAUUCAAGAAUUUCCAGGAUUCGACAAAAAAUUUCAUCGAAAUUUAUC
rnacentral:misc_RNA from 1 species